GCCAACCUGCACUUUCCUUCCCCUGGAAGAGCUGGGGCGAGAGAAGAAAACUAAGAUGAAUUGGCCAAACCACUUUAGAGGUCAGCUAAAGUCAGAGACUCAGAAAGGUGCUCUACAAGGGUGAGCUACACAGGGAGACAGAGGAAGGAGUCCACAGAGGCAUCACCAAGUUUCCUGGGAAACAGUAGGUCACACAUCUCCUGGAGCUGCUUCUAGAAGACCUGACCCAGAUGGCAGGAAUCUCACCCACGUGUGUGGAGGCACCACCCCAAUUUGCACACAAGAGUCAUCUGCUUACUUAGCAUCUGGAGCAGGUUGGUCGGGACCAACCUCAUCUGAAGAGCUUCUGGUCAUCUUGAACUUAACUCGUCCCUCAACUGCCUGAAGGAAGGCAGAGACCU
rnacentral:lncRNA from 1 species